CCACCGAGCCCGGCCAGAACUACUACAAUUUUUUUAGGGUCAUUUGGUCCUCUCUCUCAAAAGUGCGCUUACCCUCUAUCCAGGAAUUUCAUUUGUAGGAACCUAUGCUAUGUACAAUUUCACUGAAGUAUUGCUUGUAUUAGAAAAAAAGUAUGGAUGAUAGGCAGGUUGAAUAAAUGUUAAUGUUUUCAUGUAGCUAUGUAUAGGAAUGCCGCUAUGGAAAGACAUCCAGGACACCUUGUUAAGUGAAAAAAGGUUCAGUAUCUGAACACUUUUGCUAAAGGUCUCUGGAAAGCUCCCUGUGUUAAUUCUCGAUGAGACUACGUCUGUGCCGGCCGCUUCCUGAGCCUCCUUCCAUGUGCAUAGGCCUGCUGCAUGCUGGAGACCUGCGGCACAGCUGCCAAGUGCCCCGUGUGGUUCUGUGAUCUUGGGACAGUCACUUCCUCUCUGUGGUUGUCAGUCUUCUCAUCCCUAAGAUGGAAUAAAAAGGCCUACCUCAUUGGGCUCGUGUGGGUGAGGAGAACUGAAGAGUCUGAGAGCGCGGCACGAGCCAGAGGCUACGGAAAACACUGCCCUCCUACACUCCACCUUGGAGAGACCCAGAAAAGAACAAGCUUCAUUUGUAAAAAAGGAAAACAACUCAGGCAAUGGGGGUGGCUUAAAGGCACUCUACAGUGUGCAGAUGCCUUCCACUUCUUCCAUCUGCCCUGUCUCUCCAAGAACCCCUAUGGCCCCGGUCUCAGAACAGAGCUGAGUGCAGAAAUGAAAAUCUAUGGCUCUGUGUUCCAAAACGAUGAAGAAUUUCAAGAUGGUGGCAGUGGUAAAAUCUUUCUCCAGGAAAAAUCUGUCCUUGGCCCAAUGUGUAAACACUUGCUGAGGAACUUGGAAUAACUUGCAGUGUCUUGCAGUAUUGUGAAACCAGCAACUUGUUCACAAUUCUUCUGAAUUUCUUGGGAAAUUUGAAGUGGAGUACCUGUACCAACAUGAAAUGACACGAAUUUAAGUGACGCUCAACAACGAAAAGCAAAAAGAACCAAAGAGGAAGCAACUGAAACAACAUCUGGAUGUAUUUAAAAAUAUACAAUGCCUCCAAAAUCAGGUGUCAUUAAUGAAAAUUCUGAAGAAAUGCCACCGGACAUAGCCAACGCACCUACGCUGUUGUUAUUCAUUUCCUGCUUUUCACAGAAAACAAUUUUGUUGCAUGGAAGAUCGUGAACUUCAAAGGGCAGAGGGGAAACUGUCCCUUGGCCUCUACCCCUCCAAGGCCCCACUUUUUUGUCAACACUCCUUGGACGCAGCAGAAGUAUGAACAUAAUAUGGUCCUGAAUGAGGCUGAGUCUUUGGGCGCAGAAGACCCGGGUUAAUAAAAAUAGGAAGAGGAGGCUGGCCUUUGCCCCACGGCCUUGGCUGCAGCACCAUCACAUGCCUCCACGCCUCUCCAUCUCCUCAUGAAGAUCUCUCUCCAGAUAGAGACCAUUUCCUCCCUAGAGGAAUCCUUGUACUAUCCGUAGGAGUUUGGAUGCUUCAUCUCUGCUGAGACCCAGUGCCUGGCACUGAAGGUGCUCAGGAAAUACCUUCUGAAUGAUCGGAAGCCCCUGCCAUCUGCUAAACUGGAUCUAUGAUGACAGAAGCCGAGGAAUGUGAGGUUCAUCUAGAGAGUUCUUGUGAAUUUUCCAAGGGAGGCACCUGUUGAAUUCAGGCAUCGGCAUGUGACUUGAUUUGGUCAAUGAAAUGUGAGAGAAGUGACAUCCACUUUGAGGCAGGCACUUUCCGAAUGCCAUCAAGCUGAGAUGUGAAGCGGAAGUGAGGCAGAGGCUCCCUUCCUUUUGUUUGGCGCAGUUUUCUGUGAGAGAGCAGAGGUGGGAGAUGAGGGGACCUCUGCCCCAGUGUUUCUGCAUCCAAGCUCCAGCCUUGUUGAAGGUUGCCCCGACGGCCACUCUCCAUACUGCUGCCAGAAGAACCUUGAAAUAUCGCUCUUUUUAAUUAAAAAGCAAAACUCUUCAA
ensembl:lncRNA DRAIC downregulated RNA in cancer, inhibitor of cell invasion and migration